rnacentral:other from 1 species
CGUCUCCUGCAGUGUUCGAUACCGACCUGGAAACCUUUCGACCCUAAAUUUUUACCUCGGGGUCGUGUACUGUCGGCAUCAUGUGUGCAGAACCGUUUCGGCGGUGAGCCUGUUGAAGCCACGGCUGACCCCACCUGUUGCUCCGGUUCGAGAGCGAAGGUUUGUAACGGCACAGGCGGGAGGCGC